UACAGAGGGUGCUAGCGUUAAUCGGAUUUACUGGGCGUAAAGCGUGUGUAGGCGGUUCGUUAAGUCGGGUGUGAAAUCCCUGGGCUCAACCCGGGAAUUGCAUUCGAUAGUGGCGAGCUAGAGUACGGUAGAGGGCGGCGGAAUUCCGGGUGUAGCGGUGAAAUGCGUAGAUAUCCGGAGGAACACCGAUGGCGAAGGCAACCGCCUGGGCCUGUACUGACGCUGAGGAGCGAAAGCCAGGGGAGCAAACGGG
rnacentral:rRNA from 1 species